rnacentral:rRNA from 1 species
UACGUAGGGUGCGAGCGUUGUCCGGAAUUAUUGGGCGUAAAGAGCUUGUAGGCGGUUUGUCGCGUCUGCUGUGAAAAUCCGAGGCUCAACCUCGGACUUGCAGUGGGUACGGGCAGACUAGAGUGUGGUAGGGGAGACUGGAAUUCCUGGUGUAGCGGUGGAAUGCGCAGAUAUCAGGAGGAACACCGGUGGCGAAGGCGGGUCUCUGGGCCGUUACUGACGCUGAGGAGCGAAAGCGUGGGGAGCGAACAGG